GGGUGGCACGCGUGUGCUUGCUAUUCAUUGUUUCUGCUGGGGGCAUUUUUAUCUUUUGAAAUUCUUUCUUCUGAACCUUUCGUGCCUACCAGAACCAGCCUGUCAGGAUGCGCCUGAUCUCCACAGCAGCCCCUCCAUCCGACUCUGAAGAAGCCGUCAGCUCACAGAAGAUUCCUUUUGUUUAAUGAGUAACAGCUACUGACUCACUCCAUGGCCCACCAGAAUGACAGACUCCUGUUCAAAAGCCUGAUCUGAAGUUGCUGCCAUGACACAAGCAAUGCCUGUGAAGUGCCUGCAGCCCACGCCUCUGAGACAGGCCAGGCGUGUGGUGGACACGCAGCUGCAGGCGCUUGCUCUCUGUCAUCACGAGAAAAAGUAUCCCUGCACCGGACAAGAAAGGACCUGCAGGCACACUCACAAUCAACUUCCUGAUUUCACAAUGAUGGCACCAAAUGGAGUUAGCAAUCCAAGAUUAUUUUAUUUUCUGGGCUAUCCAGAUGACUUAAAGCCUCGCUGAAGUUCCCAUGAGAAGAGUUUAAACAACCCAAAGAAAGCACGUAAGAAAGGAAUAACAACAACAAAACCCAGAAAGAAUGAAUAGGAAACAAAUGCAGUGGUUCCCCUUACCUGUGGCGAAGACGUUCCAAGACCCCCAGUGGAUAGUACCAAGCCCUAGAUAUAUGAUAUUUUUUCUGUAUACACACACACCUAUAAUGAAGCUUAAUUUAUAAGUUGGGAACAGUAAGAAAUUAGC
rnacentral:lncRNA from 10 species